AACAAAUGUGAAAUAUAGAUGUUAAAUGAUAUUUGAAAAAACUUCUAGACAAAGAAAGGUUGAGAAAUAGACUUAUUCAGAAAAUUUCCUACAAAAGAAAAAAUAAAAAAGUAGUUAGACCCAAAUUUCGCUACUCGAGUGGCCAGAGUGAGAUUGAAACAUAAACGGCGACGUUUGAUAUCUGAUAAACUAGCACUACACACGGCCACGUCACCCUCCUCUCUCGACCAGGAUACAGAAAAACAAUGGCGAAGCCAGAGAUCACUAGCAGAGGCUCAAGGUGGUCCCUCGCCGGAUUCACAGCUCUAGUCACCGGUGGAACGCGUGGAAUCGGGCAUGCUGUAGUGGAGGAACUAGCCGAGUUUGGUGCCACAGUGUAUACUUGUUCUAGGAAUGAAGAAGAGCUUAAUAAAUGCUUAAAUGAAUGGAAAAGUAAGGGUUUUUCGGUUAAUGGAUCGGUAUGUGACGCGUCUUCUUCUUCUCAAAGAGACGAGCUUAUUCGACAAGUGGCUUCUUCCUUCAACGGCAAGCUCAACAUACUUGUAAACAAUGUUGGAACGAAUGUGAGGAAGCCGACAAUUGAGUAUACAACCGAAGAUUAUUCGAAAGUGAUGGCUACUAACUUGGAUUCUGUGUACCAUCUAUGCCAAGUGGCGUAUCCUCUUCUCAAAGAAUCUGGAAAUGGAAGCAUUGUGUUUAUUUCCUCGGUUGCAUCUCUCACGAGUGUAGGUUCUGGAACCAUCUAUGCAGCGAGUAAAGCUGCAAUCAAUCAGCUGACAAAAAGUCUUGCUUGUGAAUGGGCAAAAGAUAAUAUAAGGAGCAACUGUGUUGCGCCGUGGUAUACAAAAACACCACUUGUGGAACAUUUAAUUGCUAACGAAGAGUUUGUGAAUGAAGUGCUAUCUCGAACACCGAUAAAGCGGAUAGCAGAAACACAUGAAGUGUCUUCCUUGGUGACUUUCCUUUGUCUGCCUGCUGCUUCCUACAUCACUGGACAGAUUGUUUCUGUUGAUGGAGGAUUUACUGUGAAUGGAUUUCAACCCAGCAUGAGGAUUACCUAAAGCAAGAAUGUCGUUUUUUAUUUUCAGCAUUGUUUCCACAACAUAAUAAUGAAAUGAAUAAAUGGAAAGGAAUGCACCAUGUCAUGAAAAUUGCCUGUUCUCAUAAUGUUCCAUUCUUAUUGGAUCAAGCCUAAACCUUUGUUUAAAAUCUUCGCACAGAACAAAGGAAUGAAUUGGGUAAAGUUAAUGAAAGGGGAUGAAGAUUAACAACUCAGUUUUAGAAUCAUCUUCAGUGGUAAAUGUUUCAAAUGUAUUUUUCACUAGAAUCAUCUUGCCUGCAUGUUUCUCGCAGAAACUGAAUAUACUGUUGAACAUAUUCUAGUUCUUCAUAUUUCUCUUGAUGUUGUAUUGAAGCAUUAAUGAAACUCCGGAGUUAUUUCAAGAAUUUCAUCA